rnacentral:rRNA from 1 species
ACGGGUUAAUAUUCCCGUACCGACAAUACUGCGAUGGGGGGACGGAGAAAGCUAGGCAGGCAUGGCGUUGGUAGUCCAUGUGAAAGUGCGUAGGAAGGGGGAUUAGGCAAAUCCGGUUCCCUAUAUUCUGAGACACGAGACGAGCCACUACGGUGGUGAAGCUGUUGACGCUACGCUUCCAGGAAAAGCCUCUAAGCUUCAGGUAUUGUCGACCGUACUCGAAACCGACACAGGUGGUCAGGUAGAGCAUACCAAGGCGCUUGAGAGAACUCGGGUGAAGGAACUAGGCAAAAUGGCACCGUAACUUCGGGAGAAGGUGCGCCGGUGAGGGUGAAGCAUUUACUGCGUAAGCCCACGCCGGUCGAAGAUACCAGGCCGCUGCGACUGUUUAUUAAAAACACAGCACUCUGCAAACACGAAAGUGGACGUAUAGGGUGUGACGCCUGCCCGGUGCUGGAAGAUUAAAUGAUGGGGUGCAAGCUCUUGAUUGAAGUCCCAGUAAACGGCGGCCGUAACUAUAACGGUCCUAAGGUAGCGAAAUUCCUUGUCGGGUAAGUUCCGACCUGCACGAAUGGCGUAACGAUGGCGGCGCUGUCUCCACCCGAGACUCAGUGAAAUUGAAAUCGCUGUGAAGAUGCAGUGUAUCCGCGGCUAGACGGAAAGACCCCGUGAACCUUUACUAUAGCUUGGCACUGAACAUUGACCCUGUAUGUGUAGGAUAGGUGGGAGACUUUGAAGUUGGAACGCCAGUUCUGAUGGAGUCGUCCUUGAAAUACCACCCUUGCAUGUUUGAUGUUCUAACGUAGGCCCCUAAUCGGGGUUGCGGACAGUGUCUGGUGGGUAGUUUGACUGGGGCGGUCUCCUCCUAAAGAGUAACGGAGGAGUACGAAGGUGCGCUCAGACCGGUCGGAAAUCGGUCGUAGAGUAUAAAGGCAAAAGCGCGCUUGACUGCGAGACAGACACGUCGAGCAGGUACGAAAGUAGGUCUUAGUGAUCCGGUGGUUCUGUAUGGAAGGGCCAUCGCUCAACGGAUAAAAGGUACUCCGGGGAUAACAGGCUGAUACCGCCCAAGAGUUCAUAUCGACGGCGGUGUUUGGCACCUCGAUGUCGGCUCAUCUCAUCCUGGGGCUGUAGCCGGUCCCAAGGGUAUGGCUGUUCGCCAUUUAAAGUGGUACGUGAGCUGGGUUUAAAACGUCGUGAGACAGUUUGGUCCCUAUCUGCCGUGGGCGUUGGAAAUUUGAAGGGGG